UGUCGCGGCAGUUGUGCGCGGGAUACCUUCGGGUAUGCCGGAUCACUGGUUCCGGUCGGUCAACCCGCGUACAGCUGCCACCCUA
rnacentral:antisense_RNA from 1 species